rnacentral:snRNA from 1 species
GAAUAUAAGGGCAAUCUGGCUGUGACAUCCGUCACCCCAUUGAUCUCCAGGGCUGAUAAGGCUGAUCUAGCUGGCUAGGUGGGUGCCCCCCUUCCUUUCUCACUACUCCAUGUGCUUCCCUCCUAAAGCUGUACAUUUGGUCGAAGACGCUGACCUUCCCUUAACAGAGAUGGACUUGUCUUCUUGGUCAAGGCUAUACAAGUAGUUGUGAUCCCCUGCUAGAACCUCUAAAUAAGCUUGGAGUACAUUAAGUUCACAUCUCAUGUAAUCCCAUAAUAACUUUAUGGCCGGUGUCAUUAUUA